rnacentral:rRNA from 1 species
AUACGUAGGGUGCAAGCGUUAAUCGGAAUUACUGGGCGUAAAGCGUGCGCAGGCGGUUUUGUAAGACAGUGGUGAAAUCCCCGGGGUCAACCUGGGAACUGCCCUUGUGACUGCAAGGCUAGAGGACGGCAGAGGGGGAUGGAAUUCCGCGUGUAGCAGUGAAAUGCGUAGAUAAGCGGAGGAACACCGAUGGCGAAGGCAUCCCCUGGGCCUGUACUGACGCUCAUGCACGAAAGCGUGGGGAGCAAACAGGAUUAGAUACCCUGGUAGUCCACGCCCUAAACGAUGUCAACUGGUUGUUGGGGAUUUAUUUUCUCAGUAACGAAGCUAACGCGUGAAGUUGACCGCCUGGGGAGUACGGCCGCAAGGUUAAAACUCAAAUGAAUUGACGGGG